rnacentral:rRNA from 1 species
AGCGAACGCUGGCGGCGUACUUAACACAUGCAAGUCGAACGGGGAUCAUCGGUGUAGCAAUACAUCGGUGGUUCUAGUGGCGCACGGGUGAGUAACACGUGGGUAACCUGUCCUUGAGUUCGGGAUACCCUCUCGAAAGGGAGGCUAAUACCGGAUACGUUCCCCGGAUUGCGAAAUCUAGGGAGGGAAGGCGGCGCAAGCUGCCGCUCUUGGAGGGGCUCGCGGCCUAUCAGCUAGNGGUGAGGUAACGGCUUACCAAGGCUAUGACGGGUAGCU